rnacentral:ncRNA from 2 species
AGUUCUACCGGCGAUGGAGUCCGCCAUCAAAUGCCUGCGUGCUGAUGACUCCUACCAAAUC